ACACAAGUGGUGACCCACAGUGUUUCUGUAAGAUGCUGGAAAGACUCUGCUAGUGUCCUGUGUGUUGUUUUUAUUACAGGAGUCUUAGUCCUUCAACUUCUAUGCCUCUCAAUGGCUGUAAUAAAUAGCAUGAUUAAAGAAACAAACUGUAAGACAAACAGUCAAAUUCUGUCAUGUCUUUAGGUCAGCUGAACCUUUCAGUUUCCUUCCCUCAUUCUGAUGAAUCUAACUUUGGAAUGAAGAAAACUCACUUCACUGAAACGUAAGUAGAAUACCUAAGUCUGGCUGGGAUGAUGUGUAUUCUGAGAAGAAUCCGAAACACUUAGAUUCUCCAGAAACAUUUUGAUCAAUGCAAAAAAUGUAGAUUAAGGACUUUUAUCACUUGAGAAGUCCAUUUCCUUAAACUUCUGUUGAACAGUGAUUUUUUUCAACUGUACCAAUAGUGUUUUCUUUUACAUUGUAGUUUAAAACAGAUCCAGUGGUCCAUCACAUUUGAAAUACAUUCUUUCUCCUGUGUCCGAUGAAUACUACAUAAUAAAAGUACAAACAUAAAUCAUAUUUUAAGAUAGGAAGAAAUAACAAUAAGCAGUCAAGAAGGCUUCAACAAAUUACUGGAACAUUAGUAUGAGGAAUGAGGAAAACAUAGAGCAGGAAAGAUGUUGAAACACAAAUGUUAGAUGAACAUCAUGCAUGUAGUAAGACAGACAAGUUGUGAAUCUAUAUCUAUAGACCUGUGCAGAAUCUGGUUCCACAGAAAUAGAAGCUUAAAUAGGGAACAAAUUUGUACACAGGAUUUUGACCUUGCUGAAGCUCCCUUCCUAUUCCCAUUCAGCAUGUGGCCCCUAUUCCAGGAACAUAAAUUUCUUUUGUUUUAUAAUGCUUUUUAAGACAGGGUUGGAGUCUGUCCAGGAACUAGCUUUUGUAGACCAGGCUGGCCUUGAUCUGACAGUGAUCCACCUGCUCCUGCCUCUCGAGUGCUGGGAUAAAAGGCAUGUGCCACCACUACCCAGCAGAAAAUAAUAUUCUUAAAAGAAACUGAGUUAAAGAAGCCCUUUCCCUGAAACACUGAUGACUGACAGGGAAUGACCAAUACAUUGGGAUGAAAGCAAAUGCCAACAAGAUUUGAUUCCCAGAAUUCUGGAUCUCAGAGCCUGUUCUCUGUCUUGUUUCAUGAAUAUAUGCAGCGGGGUCAGUCCUCCAGACAAAAGGACUAAAUCAGAACUCCUUAUUUCACCACCAUGAUAGAAAGUAUUUCCCAUGUAUUAAUCAGAAUGGAUUCAAAACAUCCAUCCAAGAGACAGACUCACAGUGUUCUCAGAACUUAAUAGAAGCAUGGAACCCUUCAUGGAGAUCCCUGAGUCAUAUGCAAACUAUCUUCAUCCAGGCUAUACCAGAAAUCUUAAGAUCAGCUGGCUUCUUAUGUGUUUAUAAAAUAAAAGGCAGAUGAGACAUCCACAUUAGCCAUAAUUUUAAUCUAAUUUUAUAUUACUUCAUGAAAUUUAUGAGAACAUUUUACAUCUUAUUGUCUGAAGUAAAGUCACAACAAGUUAUGGGCUCCAGUAGCAUGAAUAGAACUUGUGGGAGGGUGAGAGUAUCAUAGAGGUUGCUGGGUACCAGUCCUGGGAAGCUUCCAAUUCAAUAUUUACCAUGUGGGUGAUGUACGUGUGAACAGAAAAAGGGAAUGAAAAGGAAAUAAUCUGUAGUUGGAUGCUCCUUUUAAUUGAGACUGUAUUUCCAGCAUUUAGAGUUAUCUAUUUAAAUUUCCAGCACAAUUAUAACUCAAAAAUGAAAAAUUACAUAUGAAAAUGUAACUGUUAAUCUAAAAGACUGCUAAUAAUGGAAAAUAAUCAUAAUUUUCAUGAUGAUAAAUAUUUAUGCAGUUGCAAUUAAUCUAACAAUGAAUGUUUGUAUGGCAAAGUUUUAUAAGCCAAUUUGCUGUUUUCCCCCGUUUUUGUAAGUGGAAUUUUUUCUCACAUAAUAUAUCAGGAUUAUGGUUUCUCCUCCCUCUACCCUUUCCUGUUCCUCUCCACAUAAAGAUACCCUUUUUUUCUGCCUUUCAGUGGAAAACAAGAAGGCAUCUAUAGAAUAAUAAAUAAUAUAACAAGAUGUAAUAAAUCUAGUAUGACACAGCAAAAAAUAGCUCAUUGGAAUUGGACAAAACAAAGGAACAGAACAUAGGAGAAG